rnacentral:tRNA from 1 species
GCGCCUAUAGCUCAGUUGGUAGAGCAGUGGCCUUUUAAGCCAAUGGUCGGGGGUUCAAAUCCCUCUGGGCGCA